GUGUGUGUAUACAAACACACGCACACCACACACAAACCGGAUUUGAUGGGGGUGGGUGGGGGGAACAGGCAAAGGGUGGAGAAUUUGAAAACAACCAAAUGACUCCAAAGGAAGUAGGGGAGAGGUUGACGUACAGACCCAUCCCAGUUAUUCCACGCCUUCCCUGUGACUCAGAUCCCCUUUAUCGUGCUGCCACCACCCAAAGGCAAAAGGGGUUUUCCUCUGCCCAUGCAUGAUCUCUUCUACCUUCUUGGCAUCUCUGCCCGUGCUUCCUCCCCACCUGUCAUCUUAGUCUCCAGCAGUUCCCCUCUUCCCCUCCACCAUGCCCACAGAGUGGUACUCACUUGAAGUGGCACACAGUCUAAUGGCGCAGGGCUUCUGGUGAGAGUGAGGUGGAUGCAUCCCUGCCUCUUGGCCAGUGAGGAUGCCUGACACCUGUCAAUGACUAAGACCUGAUGCAGCCUCCCUUUACUCAGCCCAGACAGACAGGAGGCAUGGGUCUGCCUGAUGAGGCUCUUCUUCCUGGCCUCAUUGUCACCACUCUCGCCUCCCAGCCCCUACUCUCAGGGAUGGGCAGAUGUUAAGGAUAUUCUCCCCACUUACCCUACUGCUCCCCUCUGGGCCUGGAGAUUAGGUGCCUAUUUUUCAGUCUGAGAUCUUAGUCCAGACAUACACGCAUCAUACAGCAAGGGCUCCAGGAGUGUAAGAAAAAUGAGUCCCAGGCUGGCUUGUAGAGUCUCAGAUGGACUCGAGGCAGAAGUGGAGAGGGCUGGAGGCAGAAGUGGAGAGGGCUGGAGCUCUAGUCCCUCUCCCUUGCAUUGACUCUGCUGCCU
rnacentral:lncRNA from 1 species